UACAGAGGGGGCAAGCGUUAUUCGGAAUUAUUGGGCGUAAAGGGCGCGUAGGCGGUUCUUCAAGUCUCUCGUGAAAUCCCUCGGCUUAACUGAGGACGUGCGGGAGAUACUGAAGGGCUUGAGUCCGGAAGAGGGUGGUGGAAUUCCCAGUGUAGCGGUGAAAUGCGUAGAUAUUGGGGAGGAACGACCGGUGGCGAAGGGCGGCCACCUGGGCCGGAACUGACGCUGAGGCGCGAAAGCGUGGGGGAGCAAACGGG
rnacentral:rRNA from 1 species